GAAUUUUAUAUUUUAAUAUGUAAUAAAUAUAUAUAAUUAAAAUAUUUUAUUGGGAGGAUAUUUAAAUUUAAUAAACUUUAAUUAUUAAUAACAUAGAUGAAUGAAAAUUUUUAAAAAUAUAAAUAUUUAAGAAUAAAUGAAUAAUUAUGUAAUUAUUAAAGAAUUAAUUACCUUAGGGAUAACAGCAUAAUAUUUUUUUGUAGUUCAUAUAUAAAAAAAUGCUUGU
rnacentral:rRNA from 1 species